AGGCCUAUGAGGAUAUCAAAUAACACCAAUACCAUCUUUCGGGACUGAUUUGAUCAAAUGAUGUUAUUCUGCAAUUCUGAGGCCA